UGCACCUAAGGAUGUUGUUAAACUGCUUCA
rnacentral:piRNA from 1 species